GGAGUUGGCCAGACAGUCGCCGCUGCCAGGGUUCUUUCGGGAGCGCUGGUGGGGGAGGAAAGUCCGGGCUCCAUAGGGCAGAGUGCCAGGUAACGCCUGGGCGGCGUGAGUCGACGGAAAGUGCAGCAGAGAGUAGACCGCCUAAGCAUCCUUCGGGAGGCCGGUAAGGGUGAAAGGGUGCGGUAAGAGCGCACCGCGCGCCUGGCAACAGUGCGUGGCACGGUAAACCCCACUCGGAGCAAGACCAAAUAGGAACCCCAUGGCGUGGCCCGCGCUGGGUUCGGGUAGGUUGCUUGAAGCCAAUGGUGACGUUGGCUCUAGAGGAAUGACUGUCCACGACAGAACCCGGCUUAUCGGCCGACUCCCCCU
rfam:Halomonas huangheensis strain BJGMM-B45 contig5_scaffold2, whole genome shotgun sequence.